rnacentral:misc_RNA from 1 species
UCCGCUUUACAGCGGCAGUUCGUUCCGAGUCCCCGACUUUACUCGCUGGUAACAGAACGUGAGGGUUGCGCUCGUUGCGGGACUUAACCCAACAUUUCACAACACGAGCUGACGACAGCCAUGCACCACCUGUGCACCACCCUCGAAGGCGGUGUUAUUUCUAACACGUGCAGGUGCAUGUCAAGCCCUGGUAAGGUUCUUCGCGUUGCAUCGAAUUAAGCCACAUGCUCCACCGCUUGUGCGGGCCCCCGCCAAUUCCUUUGAGUUUCAACCUUGCGGCCGUAGUUCCCAGGCGGUUCACUUAAUGCGUUAGCUGCGGCACCGAGGCAGAGCCCCAACACCUAGUGAACAUCGUUUAUGGCCAAGACUAC